rnacentral:rRNA from 2 species
GUACCUGGUGGCGAGCGGCGGACGGGUGAGUAAUGCCUAGGAAUCUGCCUAGUAGUGGGGGAUAACGUCCGGAAACGGGCGCUAAUACCGCAUACGUCCUACGGGAGAAAGUGGGGGAUCUUCGGACCUCACGCUAUUAGAUGAGCCUAGGUCGGAUUAGCUAGUUGGUGAGGUAAUGGCUCACCAAGGCGACGAUCCGUAACUGGUCUGAGAGGAUGAUCAGUCACACUGGAACUGAGACACGGUCCAGACUCCUACGGGAGGCAGCAGUGGGGAAUAUUGGACAAUGGGCGAAAGCCUGAUCCAGCCAUGCCGCGUGUGUGAAGAAGGUCUUCGGAUUGUAAAGCACUUUAAGUUGGGAGGAAGGGCAGUUACCUAAUACGUGAUUGUUUUGACGUUACCGACAGAAUAAGCACCGGCUAACUCUGUGCCAGCAGCCGCGGUAAUACAGAGGGUGCAAGCGUUAAUCGGAAUUACUGGGCGUAAAGCGCGCGUAGGUGGUUUGUUAAGUUGGAUGUGAAAGCCCCGGGCUCAACCUGGGAACUGCAUCCAAAACUGGCAAGCUAGAGUAUGGUAGAGGGUGGUGGAAUUUCCUGUGUAGCGGUGAAAUGCGUAGAUAU